CCGUGGUUCUGCCCGCCGCUCGCUCCAAAACACGUGUCCCGUACUCCCGUCCUCGUCCGCGGUCCACCCCCACGCCUCUCGAUGGUUACUCCUCGCACACCCGCCCUUGCGCCGCCGACCCCGGCGCCCCUCCUCCGCCGGUCCGCGCGCCCCUCCACCGCCAGCUCCUCCUCCUCCUCCAGCUCGGCGUCGCGGCACUCGCCCCGCGCACCGCCUCCGCCAGCUCGCGCGCUCGACGGCGCGACCCGACCCGGCUGCUGCACGCUCGCCCCGCCUCUACCUCCUGUGGAUCCACGCGCUCGGCUCGGCCAGCGCCUCCCUCGCCGCCCGCGCGCGCAACGGCGCGCCGCCGCUGCCGGGGCAGGACAGCUCCCUUCCCUUCGACCGGCGCCCGCACGCUCGACGGCGCGACACCGCCGCUGCUGCCAGGGCAGGACGCCUCCCUGCUCUUCGCCCGGCGGCCGGCUCGAGCGCUCUCUCUCGCCGCGCUCCGCGUGCCGCUCGCCUCUGCUCGGCUGGACGCCUCCCUCCCCUUCGACCCUGCGCCGCCCGCCCUGCCAAAGCCACCUCCCCAUCACCGAUGCACAGGUCCGGGGAGUCAGUUGAGGAGGAUGGAUCCGCGGAGGUGGUGGCCUAAUGCUCUGCCAUCCCCACAUCCCCACCUGCUCGUACUCCCGUCCCCAUGGUUCCUAUUCUUGUCGUCGGCUCCGUUUAGCAGGAUGGAUCCACGGGGGUGCUGACGGAUGCGCCGUUUCUGCAAUCCCAGCAGCCUCGCGGCCUAUCUGCAUCAUCGCCGAUCAGCCGCAAGCGCCAUCAAGGAGGGAACGUUGGAGAAUUGUUAACGUGUAGAAGCUAUGGCUGGGCUGUCUGUGCAGGCACCCACGAAGCCAUGGCUGCCAGUAAGGAUGCAGAACUAGGUGGCAAUCAAGUAUUCAGGUUGGUCACAGCAGGGACAUGGCAAGAGGAAGAAAAUACACAUGAUCUAUAUUGUGCCAAAAUAAUUUCUGUCAUCUAAGGUUGGUUUAGGAUGGGAAAAUAGGGGUAAUUUUUUCCAAAGGUAUUUCUGCUCAUGGGAAUUGCCGCAAUGCUGUACUUCAAAACCAUAGUUGAGAUGGAUUUUUGGUCAAACAGUUUCAUCGUAUUUUGUAGUAUGCUAAUACUUUUGGUAGAAUAGUAUGCAAAGUAGUAGAGAUUUUGAUGUGAUCUGGGGCAUGAAUUGACAAUUAUUAUCCACAUACCAUAGUUUGUUGUAGAAACAUUUUCUAUUCAA